AAGUCGUAACAAGGUUUCCUUCCGGUUGAUAGAUUUAACUACCGAAGCCUCACACAGCGACUCUAAAUCAACUGUGGAGUCUUGCCUAUGGCAAAGACAAUACCGCUGAAAUGCUGUGAUCACGAAAGUGUACCAGCAGCCUAAUCUAGGCCACAGAUCAAGUGGCGGUGGUCUUAGCUUCACAGCUCUAGACUAUAAUAUGACCGGUUCUUAUCCUGACGGUUAAGAGCUUUAACGUUCCGUAGGUGAACCUGCGGAAGGAUCAUUAAAGAGUUAGGGGUCUUCUAGGCUCGAUCUCCAACCCUUUGUAUAAUUACCAUGUUGCUUUGGCGGGCCCCGUCUUUAACCGGACCGCCGGAGGUUAAAGCCUCUGGCCAGCGCCCGUCAGUGGCCCACAACAAAUUAUUUUAACCAUGUAUCUUCUGAAAAUAGUUAAAUAAACUAAAA
rnacentral:misc_RNA from 1 species